AGAUGCUAGUAAAAUGCUAUUACCCUGCCUUGUCAAGGCAAAAUUGUGGGUUAAACCCCCGCGCUUCUUA
rnacentral:tRNA from 1 species